GCGUCGGUGGUAUAACGGUUAGCAUAGCUGCCUUCCAGCGGAAGCUGACCCGGGUUCGACUCCUCGGCCGACGCA